ACCCCGCUCCCGCGCAUCCCAAGUCAGGGGCCGGCCUAGAAUCGGACGAGGAGAAAGGGGCGCGCCCUCGGCCACAAGAAAGGGAGCCUGGGGCCUCAGAACCCGAGCCCUCGGCCUCGGGCCCCAUCCACGUCACAGCCAGGCCACUCCAGCACGGGGACAUUAGCCAAUGUGGACAGGAAUUUAUUGGAAACACACACACACACACACCCAUCCUAUUAACUGCUUUACAGAGUACUUCUGUUUUUCAGCUGCAGAAACUUAGAAAAACAUCCCCUGCUCUCCAGUGAGACUUUAAGGAUAGAGUUCUCCAAGGGAGAGAAAGAAAGAAGACAGGAAGAGAAGUCCCAGCUUGCAAGGGAAGCCUACACUCUCUCUUUUUUUUUUUUUUUUUUUUUUUUUUUAAGACUUGCCUUAAAAACCCACAUCAUUUCAGAUAAGGCAUACAUCAGGCCCUUCCCGGGGAGACUCUACUGCCAGGUCGAAUUUAAUAGGGGGGGCACCCCAGUUGGUCAAAGCCAACUGCUGGACGUUUUUAUAUCUCCCCAGGUUCACCUUUUUCCAUUCUGAUAUGCAAAGGCAAGCCCUACAGAAACCUCACCGGAAGUGCCCUGUCCUGCCUCUCAGAAUCCCACACUCAGCUCUGUCUGAUUUUACUCCCGCCCAAUUCUCUCAGCACAGAAAGGCACCUGCUUGUCCCCUGCUGAAAGCCACCCACCCAGGCUGGCCCCACAGCCUCGAAGAGUCCAACUGCGCAACAAUGACCCGUGCAAGGGUGAGAACUACAAUGAGCUCACGAGGCAAAAAGCUGUAGGGGACGACCUCAUAAUCUGGUGACAUCACGAACCUGGUGGGCCGACAGAUAAAUAACUUCAAUAAAAUAAAAGCUAGAAUGCUGAAGAACCUGCUCUAAAGUAAGCUGGAAGGAUGUGGAGGUGCUGGACAGAAGGCCCCGGGGGGAUCUGCAGGAUCCUGCCAGGGUCCCGAGGGGCGGCCACCUGACAAGUAGAACUGAGAGUGACCGUGGUUCUAUCUUACUCCAGCACCAGCUACGUAUGUGCUCAGAGCUGGCCAGCUUCCUUUGUUACAGGCAAAAUUUUAACAGGUGAAUCCACAGGCAAGUAAUCUAUGCAUGGCCUCUGUAGCAUUAUACAGGACUGCCAAAAAGCUGGGGCAUUACCUCUACCAAAACUUAUUUCCCCUAUUAACAAUCGCUUCAGCAGCACACAUACUAAAAUCCGUAGGAACAAAACAAUACCUCUCCAGAGGGAUUCUGAAACUUUUGCACUUAGGGAUGGAAUCAACAGUUUCCCUGAAACACACGUUGCAAAUCCUGUCCUCCAGCUCUGAAAGGCCCUGGCCCUUCUGAGGGCAGAUGCCUGUAGUUAAACCCAUGGCCUACCCAGCAGAGGCAGCCUGGCUUGUUCAUGGCUCCUAGACACUGUUGACAAAUAAACCCACUCUCAGAAAAGGCAGUUCUCCAUAACCAGUCUCAUCUCCUCUGGACACCGUAAUUGGCAACAGCCAAAAGGAUAAAUAUUUAAAAAUAAAUCAGGGAAUGCUGACCUCUUCCCUACUCCUCCCGUGACCCACUCUCCAAGCCAGAGGCCAGCCCCCCCACCCCACCCCAACACUUAACUGACUGGUAAAUCACAGUGAUCCCAACUGAGCCAAACUGGCUUGCCUUUCUCUCCACAUACACAUUCAUUCUCCAGAGCUGUGUCCCCUCACUUCAGCAAAGGUAAAUAUGAUCUCUGAGCUCAGACACAGUGAAUGUCAGCAUUCUGACUUCCAGCUAAACCUGGACUCUAUUUUCACAGCACAGCUGGGUUUCAGGGAGAUUAGUGUAUUCCUUCAGAUCCCUGUAUUUUUAUGAAAAUAUACAUUCACACGGAUUUUAAAAUUAGUGCUUAAAUAACCUUGAGGGUUUAACAAAGAAAAAGCCAGGAGAGGGCAAAAACAAAAGUCCCUGAAACAAACAAUAAAAGUCAUUUAGAGCUAAAUUGCACACCAUGCCCUGGAUUCACCCCUUCAUUUCUAGGCAGUUAUAUUUAGGGAUGUGGUACCUGCCGGGUGAUCAGGCCCUCCUGGGUGUGACAGAGAAUACAGGCUUUCCUCAGAACUGCCCACACUCACCUCCAUAACCAUGGGAGGCUGGUGUGCCAAGGCCUACGCGCAGAUGUUUUGAUUCACAUUUCUCUGACACAUACCUCAAGGCCUCCAUCUAUCGCUACAACGCUAAUUCCAGAGAUUAAUUUUUACCCCCAAAUCAUGGCUGGAGCAUUAUCUAGUUUACUUGCCCACCCUCCCCAAAUCAGACCCUAAAUCUGUCAAUGACACACAUGCGAAAGACACAAAUGAGCAACCUUUUUUUUUUUCUAAAAACUGAUUGGAAGCUUUUCCAAAUUAAUUUUAAGUUGCAAAGCCUAAGUUUAAGACCGCAAAAUAUAAAGAACUUGCCUUAAAACAGCUUUAAAGCAUUAGGUAAAGGGAUUGCUCUCUCCCUCUUUUUUUUUUUAAACAAAAAUAUUAUUUCUAAAAGGGCAAAGAGAAUUUGCCAUGCAAGACUUUUAUACCCAGGGGGAUUCUUACAUUUGUGUUUCUAAACCUUGAAAUUGAGAAUUUUAAUGAAAAGGCAGACAGAUGCUUAAGGAUAGCAUCGCGACCAGAGUCCAUACAUUACAGUUGAGAAGCGCUUUGUUUGGGGCCAGGAAAAAGAGGUGGAUUCCUAUUUCGAUCAUGGGCCAUCCCCACUGUCUGACACAUCCCUUUGCGCUCAGCCUGAUGCAAACCACAGAAUUCUUGGAGGGAAGCAGGUUGGAGGGAGAAGAAAGGAAAAAGCAAACAGGAGAGGAAAGAAAGUGGGGGGGGGGAAUGUGGCCUCUUUAUAUUAAUUGUAGUUUGAAAAAAAAAAAAAAUCUCAACAUCAAUUCCAUAGUAUGUACCAACAGCUCCCAUACACAUGUGUUAAAACAAUCAAUUAAACAAUAUGCCAGGAGCACAAUACCCAGGAUCAGAUUUUUUUUUUUUAAGUGAAGAAUUUCAUUUAGCUUUUGCAAUGCCUUCCUAUCAAGCAACCACUUCUUGGGGCAGGACACUAAGAGAUAAACAAAAGAUGACCCAGUUCACACUUCCCAAAUGAGAAUCCCAUUUUCUUAUCUUUCCAUUUUGGUGCGUUUUUGUUUGAAAUCUGUGCUAAUCUGACUUAAGAGCCAGAGCUGAAAUUUCACAUAUCCUCCAAGUCAGCCAGUGUUUUAGAAUUUGGAUUUCUAUUGAGGCUGUUCCAAUCCUCAGUGAGGCCUACGGUAAAAUGUGCUUCAUGCUGUUUCGUUUGUCUCUCUGCAGACAAAUAGAAACUGUGAAAUUUAAAGAAUGGAUAAAAAAAAAAAAAAAACCUAAAACAAAGAGGUUAAAAAAAUAGGACAAAUGUUUUUGCUUUUGUGUCUCCCUGGAGCAAUUGUUUGGGGGAGUCUGCAUUGACAAUAACCAUGAGAAGGCCAUCUAAAGGCGAUGCGCACACAAGGGGACUCCUUGCCUGCUGCCUUUGGUCUGGGAGAAAAAGCACCUUAGCUCCGUUUUCCAGGAACAAAAGGCCAGGGCCACGGAAGGGGGGAGAGGUUACUGGGGCUUUCACAUGGAGCCAAGUGUCAAUGCAGGUUCAUUUUUCACCCGUCUUAGUUGGAAAGCAGCUCAGUGAACUUCCUAAUGACUGCUUUUCCCUCUCCCCCUAUUAUUUCUAAACCUAAAAGAACAAAACAAUAAUAUUUUUUUAAACCUAAAACCCAUCAUCCUAUUAGAGGAAAGCCUUGGGGACCUACAAAGUUUUCCCUCUUUCCUUUCCCCACCCUACUUUUUUUUUUCCUUUUCUUUUUUUUUUUCUUUCCCUUUUCUUUUUUUUUCUUUCUUUUUUUUUUUUUUUUUUUUUUUUUAGAGAAGGGAGGAUUCCAAUUGUAGAUCACAUGGAAAUAAGAGACACUGGACAUUGUGGUCAUUUUUAGUAACACCAGAGAACUGCCUUUAUGUCUACAGAAAGGCAGGGAGUAGAAAAAUAAACGCAAAAGGGGGGAAAAACUGAAUAGGGAUAGAAGGUGAUAGUCGGGAAGCUGUGGGGCAACGCCUGCAAACAUGUUCUUUUUUCACAGCAUGAAGUCGCUAAUGCCAGCUUCAGAUUUGCGAGUGAAUCAAAGUCAUCACUACGAGCGGGUGAACCCUAGGACGAGGCAGUGACACGCAACCCCUCAGCCUUUGAACCCAGACCUGGCAGCUUGGGAACACGUCCCCCCCCCUUCCCCAGGCAGUCAGUCCCAGGCUCAGGCUGAAAAAGCGAGGUGGGGGUAGGGAUGAGAGGGCCCAGCGAAGAAACACAAUAAACAACUCAAAUAUGAACGGAAAUGACAUCAGCAAAGUGAAGGACCUGUUUAUUGCAGAUCAAAACAAAACAAACUUCCAAACCUUUUGUGUAUACAAGAUAACUCUAUAAAAAGCCCUCCUAAAAUGUCACCAGGGUCGACACAUCAGCAUCCCAAGAAAACGGAUGACAGUUACCAAAGGGG